rnacentral:lncRNA from 1 species
AUAUCAAACUUCACAAAUAGCAAUUAGCUGGUUAUUAUAUAUUUUUCAUGGUUCCACUGAAAUAUGGAGAAACAUAUAUUUCUGGAGUCCGAUUAUAAUGCUUUUAAAAGCACGAAGCACUUGGUGCUUGUAAAAUUUUCAUCGUUAAAUCUAUAACCUUUUAAUUGUUUUCACUCAUUAGAUCAUACUACUUAACCAACCACUCGCUCAAUUCUAGGGAAUCAGUAUCAUCCUAACUUUACAUUUGUUAAUCCAAAGACCGAAAAACUAUAAAAGUAUAGGAGCUCAAAUCUAUAUUUCUAUAUACUUAACUUUGUUUUGCCCUUU